CAAAGAAGAGAGAAAGCUAUUUGGGAACUAAAGCAAUGUUAUUUGGAUUACUAUUCUGGGUGUUUGAUGCAGGUUAGAAAUUGAGUCAAAGUGCUUAAAAGGAUAAAGUGCUCACUUCUCAGAUAUCUGUCAAUAUUCUUCAUCAAAGGCUUUUUGGACUAAAAAUUUAGAGGCCAGGAAGUAUUAAUUAAUUUGUCAAAAUUAAGUCUGUUUAUACAUGUUGUAAAACUUCAUUAUCAGUUACUAGUAGGUCCUUUUGUAGUGAUUAAUUAAGUGAUCAUUGAAAGCUAUCUAGCUAGCUACUUUUUAAAAAAAAUAUAUUUCAUAUUUCAGCUUCAUGUAUUUAUGAUUGGUCUUUUUGCUAAAAUGUAAAGAUAAUUUUCGUUUGAUAAGUACUUUUUUAUUUUUAA